rnacentral:tRNA from 1 species
GACAUUGUGGUGCACAUGGUUAACAUGCUUGGCUGCUAACCAAAAAGUUGGAGGUUCGAGUCCAUCCAGAGGUA